UUCAAGUGCAACCAUAAGUUUUUCGCCCAGUUUUAAUUGUCCGUCUUAUUUGAAAUUUUUUAUAAUUAAUAUUUUUGUUAUUAUGAGAUGAUAAAAUAUGAAUAGUAUUUUACUCGUAAUUUAUGUUUUUAAUUUUUUUUAAAUAAGACAGACAGUUAAAGUUUGACAUGAAAAACCAUGGCUGCAAUGGGU
rfam:Oryza glaberrima chromosome 4 Oglab04_0310_16, whole genome shotgun sequence.